CCUACGGGAGGCAGCAGUGAGGAAUAUUGGUCAAUGGGCGCGAGCCUGAACCAGCCAAGUCGCGUGAGGGAAGACGGCCCUAUGGAUUGUAAACCUCUUUUGUAGGGGGGCAAAAGCAGCCACGCGUAGCUUUCCGAGAGUACCCGAAGAAAAAGCAUCGGCUAACUCCGUGCCAGCAGCCGCGGUAAUACGGAGGAUGCGAGGGUUAUCCGGAUUUAUUGGGUUUAAAGGGUGCGAAGGCGGAAGGUUAAGUCAGCGGUAAAAUUGAGGGGCUCAACCUCGACGAGCCGUUGAGACUGGUUUUCUUGAGUGAGUUAGAGGUAUGCGGAAUGCGUGGUGUAGCGGUGAAAUGCAUAGAUAUCACGCAGAACUCCGAUUGCGAAGGCAGCAUACCGGCGCUCAACUGACGCUGAGGCACGAAAGCGUGGGUAGCGAACAGGAUUAGAUACCCUUGUAGUC
rnacentral:rRNA from 1 species